GCCAUAGUUCAGUGGUAGACUAUGUGUUUUGCAUGCAGAAGAUCCCAGGUUCAGUCCCUGGUAUCUCCA